rnacentral:rRNA from 1 species
UACGAACCGAGCGAACGUUGUUCGGAAUCACUGGGCUUAAAGGGCGCGUAGGCGGGCUGUCAAGUCUGGGGUGAAAUCCCACGGCUCAACCGUGGAACUGCCUUAGAUACUGACGGCCUCGAGGGAGAUAGGGGCGAGCGGAACUGUGAGUGGAGCGGUGAAAUGCGUUGAUAUUCACAGGAACACCGGUGGCGAAGGCGGCUCGCUGGAUCUUUUCUGACGCUGAGGCGCGAAAGCUAGGGGAGCAAACGGG